rnacentral:rRNA from 1 species
UACGUAGGGUGCGAGCGUUGUCCGGAAUUAUUGGGCGUAAAGAGCUUGUAGGCGGUUUGUCGCGUCUGCUGUGAAAAUCCGGGGCUCAACCCCGGACUUGCAGUGGGUACGGGCAGACUAGAGUGUGGUAGGGGAGACUGGAAUUCCUGGUGUAGCGGUGAAAUGCGCAGAUAUCAGGAGGAACACCGGUGGCGAAGGCGGCCUGCUGGGCUAUGGCUGACACUGAGGCGCGACAGCGUGGGGAGCAAACAGGG